GGGAGGGAAGACGGGCGGGGGGCUCCUCCUCGCAGGCCUGGCGGCUGUCCCGGCCCGGGCCCGGCAGCAGGAGGCAGCUGGUGACUGAGCGGUGCCCACGGCAGACAACACACAGCGAAGGGGCUGCACGGGGCUGUAGGGGCGUGAGGAGUAGCACCCCAGACGCAGCGCCCAGGCCUCUGGGAGCUCAUCUCCCUGCGGGGAUCCGAGUCCCUGGGUCCACCUGCUGGGGCCGUGCCGGUUGCACAGGAGCUUCUCUGCGUGGGGUGGUUCUGCUGGUUCUGCAGAGGGCCGAGGGUAAAGGAGCUGGACUCCCACAUCUUGACUGAGUGGGACCCGCCCAGUUGGGGUCCUGGAGGACGAGUCCAGGAGCGAGUGGCUGCUCUGUGGGCUGCCCCUGAGCCGGAUCAGCGGCCUUGGUGUAAAAGGAAAGCCUUCGACUCCUCGAGUUAACAUCAUGGCACUUUCAAACGAGGCUUCUAGCAACCUGCUGUUUGCAGACGGGCUGGGCUGGGGUGGGGGCUCGUGCACAGCCAUCCCCCCACUCGGUGAUGGGCUCCCGGCCUCAUAAUGAGGUUCUCCCAGUGGGUUCUGCAGCUCAUUGUUUUGGAGGCGUGUACAUGCUUCGAGAGCCCAGUGCUGGGAUCUGGUAUCUGCUGUGUACUUUGCAAGCCCUGACUGCAAACUUUGUAGUUGCUGAGUAAUUAAAAGAGGUGGAAUCUCUCUGCAGAACUUUUAAUUUAAUUCUCUAUCCAGAUUGAUAUGAAGCCAUUGAUAGGAUUAACAGUGUUUCAAAGCAAUUUAAUUGAGGUGAAAUUCACAUCACACAGAGUUAACCAUUUCCAAGUGUGCAGUUCAGUGGUUUUUAAGACAGUCACAAUGUUGUGCAGCUAUCACACUAUCCAGUUCUUCACUAUUUUGCCAUCCAGGAAGCAGCCCCUGUGCCCUUCAGCAGCCCCCCAUACCCCUCCCACGGCCCCUGCCACGUCCCCUGCUCCCCGUCUCUGGGGCUCGGCCUCUUCUGGGCACUUCACUGCAGGGGUCACAGCACAUGUGGCCUUGGUGCUUGGCCUCUUGAGCUGAGCCUUUUUCCAGGUUCAUCCAUGCUGCAGCAUGUCAGACAUCCACAUUAUUUUGUCUUUGCCUUUUUAGCAUGUGUUUUAGGGGAGCUGCUGUGUGUACGGGUCCUC